UAGGGAAUAUUGCACAAUGGGCGAAAGCCUGAUGCAGCAACUCCGCGUGAGUGAAGAAGGCCCUUGGGUUGUAAAGCUCUUUAGAGUGGGAAGAAGUGGUCUGUUUCGAACAGAAACAGAUUGUGACGGUACCACUAGAAUAAGCACCGGCUAAUUUCGUGCCAGCAGCCGCGGUAAUACGAAAGGUGCAAGCGUUACUCGGAAUCACUGGGCGUAAAGCGCGCGUAGGCGGUCCUGUAUGUCGAUUGUGAAAGCCCCGGGCUCAACCUGGGAACAGCAGCCGAAACUGCAGGACUUGAAUGUUGGAGAGGGUGGGGGAAUACCUAGUGGAGAAGUGAAAUUCGUAGAGAUUAGGUGGAACACCAGAGGCGAAGGCGCCUGCCUGGCCAAACAUUGACGCUGAGGCGCGAAAGCGUGGGGAGCAAACAGGAUUAGAUACCCUGGUAGUCCACGCCGUAAACGAUGGAUACUCGGCGUUCGGAGA
rnacentral:rRNA from 1 species